UACGUAGGUGGCAAGCGUUGUCCGGAUUUACUGGGCGUAAAGCGUGCGUAGGUGGUUGUUUAAGUCUGUUGUGAAAGCCCUGGGCUCAACCUGGGAACUGCAGUGGAAACUGGACAACUAGAGUGUGGUAGAGGGUAGCGGAAUUCCCGGUGUAGCAGUGAAAUGCGUAGAGAUCGGGAGGAACAUCCAUGGCGAAGGCAGCUACCUGGACCAACACUGACACUGAGGCACGAAAGCGUGGGGAGCAAACAGG
rnacentral:rRNA from 1 species